rfam:Gossypium raimondii Chr08_contig_656, whole genome shotgun sequence.
UAUCAGGCAUUUUUGAAUCAACAUUUUGAACCAUUCUCAUGCCUCAUAGAAACUUUCUCCCUCCAUCUGUCAAAAAAUAGCAAUCUCUUCUUAGUUG